ACUUCUGUAGCUAAACUGGAAAAAGCAUUACACUGAUAAGGUAAGAUUAUGGGUUCGAAUCCCGUCAGAAGUC
rnacentral:tRNA from 1 species